GAUGUCGACAGUGGGUCCAGAAUACUCGUCGACAUGAUCUCCUACACCGAACUGCGGAGUACUUGUCAAAUAACUGCCGUCUUUGUUCUGAGCACUUCGAACUUGACCAGUUUUCCAACAAGCAGACCAAGAACAGACUAAAUUGGAAUGCAGUUCCAACGCUCUUUGACAUCUCUAACCCGCUGAAACAACUGAAUAUCCAGCGAAGGAUA